rnacentral:lncRNA from 1 species
GGUCAAGCGCGAGAGUAAGAACUACCCAAGGAGUCAGUACCUUAGCAAAACCUUGCUAUCAGGUGGGCAAUUUCUUACGCGUAAAUAAAAUGCUAUUAAUGAACUAUGCAAGUUUUAUGCUUUAUUAUGCCUAAAUGAGUUAAGCUUUUAUUAUGCUUCACGCUGAGUGAUUUACGCUAUGCUAUUUACGCCUUAUGAGAGUUAUGCUUGUUAUGCUUGAAUGCUUUAUGCUAAUAAGUUUAUGCCUGUGUUUGAUGCUUGCGUCUGUUGGGGGAGGCCUCCCUCAACAGUACGAUGCCGUGUCCGCUGAGGAGGGCCUUCCUCACGGCGUGAUGCUCGUGUCCGCUGAGGGAGGCCUCCCUCGCGGCGCGAUGCCAGUAUGCCAGUGUUCCAGCGUCCGUUGGGGGAAACCACCAUCGACGGUACGAUACUAGCGUCUAUUGGGGGAGGCCUCCCUCAAUAGUACGAUGCCGUGACCGCUGAGGGAGGCCCCCCCUCACGGCGCGAUGCCCGUGUUCGUUGGGGAAGGCCUUCUCCACGACACGAUGCGUGUUAUGAUUGUUGAUGAUGAUGAAGAAUGCGCUCAUGCUGUUUAUGAAUUUGGAAAUGUUUAAUGAGCAAAGGAUUUGAAAGAAAUUUAUGCCUCUUAUGCGAUGCUGUGUUUUGUUAUUGAUGUUAAGUUUAUGCUUUAGUUUUGGCAACUGCCCACUAAGUAGUUUUGGCAACUGCCCACUAAGUACUUUUGUACUUAGCCCUACGUUGUUUAUGUUUGUGCAGGUUGAGCUGUGAUGGGCGAUGAAGUGUUGCUGAGUGGAGUUUUUGUUGAACUUAAAGUAGGCUCAGAAAGGAUACAUGUCUUCAUACAUGUAUCUCAGUUAUGCAUUCCGCUGUAAACACUGAUUAUUUCAGUUACGCCUUCCGUUGCAAACUCUGAUAAUGUUUUAGCCAGGCCCCUAACGAUGCCUUUUCCUUUUAAGGAACAUAACGCGUAU